ACACACACACACACACACACACACACACACUCAUAAACGUAGAGGGGAGGAGAAACAAUGAGAACAGGUAGGAACCUGUAGCUGAAAUAGUUCAGUCCUUUCAGACUCCAGUUAGAGUCCCAGAACUGAAGGCUGAGGCAGGAAAAUGGAUUAAGAAAUGAUAAAAGAAGUGGUGUCAUUCUUACCAUGUCUCUCUGGUGAAACCUUGACGUCACUGCUUGAUGGAUUGCAAGAGCUUGGUGUGGGAAAACCUCAGACCUAUUCAGUGAAGAAAAUACUAAUGGAUUUGAGGGGCUGUCUUGGACAUUAAUCUAGGGACAGGCACAAAGUGAAAGAGGCAGUGAGGACAUAUCAACCAACAGAUUGAAUGAACUCCAGAAGAUGAGUGUUUGUGUGGAGGAAGAGGAGGACAGAGCAGAGUCUGCUGUAUCCAGCUGUCUGUCUAUGAAGAGUGACCGAUCUAAAGAGUAUACUCCAAACUUCAGCAAUGGACCUGGACCCUCAGACACAAACGCAUCAUUCGCUCUGCAGAGAAGGUGAUUGGCUGCAAUCUUCCAUCACUUCAGGACCUG